rnacentral:miRNA from 8 species
AAAGACAAACAGCGCUAGUACA